rnacentral:rRNA from 1 species
AUUUAACGCUAGCGGGAUGCUUUACACAUGCAAGUCUAACGAGUGGCGGACGGGUGAGUAAUAUAUCGGAACAUGCCCAGUAGCGUGGGAUAACUACUCGAAAGAGUGACUAAUACCGCAUACUAUUUGAGCGGCCGUUAUCGGAGUAGCUAGUUUGUGGGUUAAAGGCUCACCAAGGCAAGGAUCCGUAGCUGGUGUGCGAGGACGACCAGCCAAACUGGGACUGAGACAAGGCCCAGACUCCGACGGGAGGCAGCAGUGGGGAAUUGUGGACAAUGGGGGAAACCCUGAUCCAGCCAUCCCGCGUGUAUGAGAAGGCCUUCGGGUUGUAAAGUACUUUUGGCAGAGAAGCGGUAUCUGCAGAAUAAGCACCGGCUAACUACGUGCCAGCAGCCGCGGUAAUAC